AUUGAACGCUGGCGGCAGGCCUAACACAUGCAAGUCGGACGGUAGCACAGAGAGCUUGCUCUCGGGUGACGAGUGGCGGACGGGUGAGUAAUGUCUGGGGAUCUGCCCGAUAGAGGGGGAUAACCACUGGAAACGGUGGCUAAUACCGCAUAACGUCGCAAGACCAAAGAGGGGGACCUUCGGGCCUCUCACUAUCGGAUGAACCCAGAUGGGAUUAGCUAGUAGGCGGGGUAACGGCCCACCUAGGCGACGAUCCCUAGCUGGUCUGAGAGGAUGACCAGCCACACUGGAACUGAGUCACGGUCCAGACUCCUACGGGAGGCAGCAGUGGGGAAUAUUGCACAAUGGGCGCAAGCCUGAUGCAGCCAUGCCGCGUGUAUGAAGAAGGCCUUCGGGUUGUAAAGUACUUUCAGCGGGGAGGAAGGCGAUGUGGUUAAUAACCGCAUUGAUUGACGUUACCCGCAGAAGAAGCACCGGCUAACUCCGUGCCAGCAGCCGCCGUAA
rnacentral:rRNA from 1 species